rnacentral:rRNA from 1 species
UACGGGGGGGGGCAAGCGUUGUUCGGAAUUACUGGGCGUAAAGGGCUCGUAGGCGCCAACUAAGUCAGACGUGAAAUCCCUCGGCUUAACCGGGGAACUGCAUCUGAUACUGGAUGGCUUGAGUUCGGGAGAGGGAUGUGGAAUUCCAGGUGUAGCGGUGAAAUGCGUAGAUAUCUGGAGGAACACCGGUGGCGAAGGCGGCAUCCUGGACCGACACUGACGCUGAGGAGCGAAAGCCAGGGGAGCAAACGG